rnacentral:lncRNA from 1 species
ACCUUGAUAGAUAAGGAGAGAUCCUAUGUGAUUUAUAAGACUGAGUUCGUAAGACCUCGGCCGGGGCAGUAUGCACAGUGGAGAAAGAGUUUUCCACUCUCGAACUUAAGUCGAAUAAAUCUUCACAUAUGACAGACGAUGGGGUUUGACGAGUUAUCCAUGACCUCCGUCCUGUAGGGAUCCACGAUAGUAGGAUUGUAUCACAUGAUAACUGCACCUAGAGGUUCACCAUUCUAUUCUACUGGGUAGCCACUAUAUGCUGCUAGGUGUCACUGGUGGAUGGUGGGACUCAUAGGAAUUAUCUUGAUGAUCGAUAAACCCUAAUGAGUUGAGUUGGAAUCGUUCCAAUCCAUUGAAAGAAGUUUUCAAUGAUAUUAUGAUAGAAAUCAUAAUAUAUCUCACUACCAGUUAGAGUAGAACCUAUGGGGUCACACACACUAGAAAUAUUGACCGAUCCGAUGGUUGAAUCGUGAUUAGGAAUCACAAGUAAUC